AAUCAGCAUCUAAUUGAGUCACUUGUGUCUGGCUUCCGGCAUCAAUACAACGUCAUUGCUCAGUGUUUUUUCCUUUUCCACUGACACCGCUGAUGCACACUGUUAGAGAGUGCUGCUUAAUUAAACCACAGUGACAGGAAAAGUGACCCAAAAACGCAGAGUCUAAUAAAGCCAUGAGCAUAAAAGUUGUACUUCUUCACCUUAGACGUCAGUUAUGAUGUAGUUUUUACCAGAGCACUGCAAACAUUUUAUACAUUUUUGUAUUUUUAACUCUCCAGUAAGUUAAGUAAGGUAACACAGUAGGGACUACAAGAGCUGCUGCUUAUGCAGAGUUGAAUUUGGUUCAUCCCAGGCAUGAGACAUUGUAAUUCUAUGUAAUUCUGGAGGGACACACAGACUGACAUGAAUUUCAGGAGCUGUCUGAGGUUGUCCUGCAGGAGGUUAACUGGACAGAAGUGUGCAGGGUUCACACAGCCGAAGAAUCCUCUUCUCUUUAAUGCAAGGCCUCUGCUACAAUAACAUUCAUGCCCUCGGAGAGUCUGCCAGCAGAUAAGUAAGGAUGACAGCAUUGUGUGAUUCAUGGGUGAACCUUUCCACAAUCACCUUAUAAAGCAAGAGGAUUAAGGACAGGAACGCUGUGACUCCAUCCAGUUCAGGUAUGCACUCCCAACAUCCUUGUUUGCUGUGUUGCUAGGUGUUCUACCUACCUACAUACCACAUACGUCCCACGCUGCUGAUAGGAGCUUAAAAAAAUUAUCAGCAAUUAAAUGUUAAUAAUGGCCUGAGCCAGGCACAGUGUCAAUAUCUAUUAUGUCCCCCUGACAUACUUCUGUCAAUGAACAUGCACAUGUCUGUAAGUGUGCAUGCCACUAGGGCGUGGGUUAGUGUUAAAGAUGGUGUCAAGAUUGAAGAUCAAUGCUAAGAAAACUGAAACAAACAAAAAACCAAGAUGUUUUAAGUCACCAGCUAACAUCUUCAUGCAGAGUUGUCCCUUAUUCUGAGCUCUUAAGUAAAAAGAGAGUAUUUACUUUAAAAAAAAAAUUAAAUUAUUCAUAGUCAUGGCCCUAAUUAUUCAUAAUACUCUUUUCCUAAUUAUUGCUGUACUAUCAACAAGGUUCUUCUUUUAAAUAAAGGAUAGCAUCCAAGAAGUUACAACUCAUUUAAGCUCAAUAUGGGAGAUGGGUAAUAGGCCAGGACAAAUGUACAAUGUACAAUGAUGCAUAAUAGGCCAUGUACAAAUGUACAUACAGGCGAGUACAAUGCACAAUUUGACAAAAAAGGAAGAACAGCAUAAUUAACUACAAAAUUACAAUCUAGACUUUCCCACCUAACCACCCAGAGCAUAUCCUUAUCUUUAACUCUUUCUUUUGGCUCUCUCUCAACAGCUUAUGGGUUUGAGGAUACCAUUCUCAGGCACCUGGCUGUUCCCACACACUGCAGGAAUCUUGCCUACACAAAUACCACUCCAUCCAGGAUAUCACUGUGGGAGUCAGAUGGAGUUAGCUGCUUUGGCACCUAACUCCUUGGUAUCACAAUUCCAUGCUGGAUCUAACCCAAAGUUCUCAGAUGCAGUAAAAGAGCUCAGCAUGGUUAAAGCCAGACAAGUUGAGCUGAUUAGCACUACCGAUAGAACUGGUCCUAAUAGCACAAUAUAUCAUAUAGAUGUUUUGGACGACAAAACCUUUCCACUGAAUUCAAUAGACCUUGAAUCUCUAAUUCUGUGAAAAGAACAUUUCCAGGUGUAUUUAUAGUAAGGCUUUUCAUCUCUAUUAUUUACCACUACCAUUAAAAUCCAAACAAUGACUGUGAUUUUUAUGAUUUAUGCAGUGAUAGAUAUAGUCCACACUUGCCAAAUCAACUCUGGCUUUACUGUAAUGUCUCCCAGGAGCCAUGGCUAGCACAAGGGUCUAACUGUCACCUUCUCUACACUGCCAAAACCAAAAACAAUCAAAAAUUCUCUCACUUUUCCAAGAUGGUGAAACAAUUUAGCAGCACCAAAAAAGAAAACCAGAUUUGGGGAGAAAUAAUGAUAAUGGUCAUUAUUAUGAUGAGAAUGAGCAUAAUGAUGAUGAGAAAUAAUGAUAAUAUGGAUAAUGAUGCAUAGAUAGAUGUCUGCUUUAGUGAGAGGUCCAGUUUUUCUUCUGUCAGUGUAAAAUGAUCACACUGCAUCUAGUCAUGCACUUUUCCUUAUGUGUGUGCUACUUUAAGAAGUGAAAGUCAUUGUUACUGCUGAAACAUUUGUCUUCCAGGGCAGCAGGGGAAGUCCCCAGAUUUGUGUUGAUGACUCUGCUCUCUGACCGCUGGCUUUCUGGGACACCAGGGACUCAGACUUCUCUGGGAUUUUCAUUUUAUUCCCCUUUGAGGCUUACAUCAUUGGAAUAGGUCACAAAUAACCUUUAGAGAUGUGGUAUGCCUAGCAGUAUCUUUCACUCUAGAUAAGGAGUGACUGCCAUCCAUUUCAUCAGUUGUAAUUAUAAUGCUCAAGAGUUUUGCCUUAGGGUUAGGUGUGCUUGGUUUAAAAUUCUUGACUGUCAAACCUGAAGAAAACUGGCAAAGCACUCCAUAAGCUCAUUCACUGUUUUUCUCUUUUUUUUUUUUUUUUCAGGAAAAUUAGCCAGUCUAAAAGCUUCUACUUGUGUAAACAGAUAUGUGUUGAAGAAAGUUCAAACGAGCACUUCCAAACUAUACUCCAUUUUAUAGCACAGGGCUCCCCAGAGCUGAUUUAGCUAUGUGCUAAGUGAAUGAUGGAGAAGAGAGUAGGGAAAAUAUCAAAAGAAUUAAGGAUAAAGAGAAAGAUGACAAAUCUGAACUAGCUGGGGUUUACAACAUUGGUAAAACAUGUAGAUUUAGAUGACUGAGUCAGAGAGAUUUUUCCUUCCUUGUACCAGAGUACACCCUCCAUGUACCACCGAAGUACAUCCCUUCUGUCUGUGAUUCCAGCUGACCUAGACAAGGAGAGAGACAAGGCCAGGGCCAUGCAGCUUCCUGUGUCAGAGUAGAGAGUGUAUCACUCAGGGACAUGACUGGGCAGUGUAAAGGAACAGACCAGUGCAGUCUGUGGAUUCACAUCCACAAUUGUACCAGUCUGUCUCAUCACACGUGCCACACUGUACUUAAAGUAGGAAAGGGCUUGGAUUCCAGGAUAUGCUGAGCAGCUUAAGCUCACACAGUUCAGGCUACAAGAGCUGUCAAGAUGAUUUUUUGCUGUUUCUGCAAAUGAACUUUUCCAUCUUGUUUGCUUUCUGCUAAGACAGGAAACAGCAACACAGAUUGUCUAUCUAAAGGCAGCACAUUUCAUAUGAAACAGAAGUUCUCAUUACAGCUGUCUGCUCUGCACUGCAGCCUAUCAAGCAGCCUGGAAACACUGGGCAGGAUAAUUGUCAGUGCUGUAACAAGAAGAUGUGUAAUAACAUGUAAAUAUUUCUGCAUGUUAGAAAUUAUGUCAUAACAAAAUUGACUUGGCUUUUACACAAAGUUCUGUACCUGAGAUGAAUCACUUUGGUGCGUAAUCUAGUAACGUUCUCUUUUUUUGCAAUUGUGUUAUAUAAAUGCUUUUACAAGGUGUGUAUAACCCAGCAACACUGUGAGGGCUGGAUUCCCAAAACACCUGAGCAUGUUGUUCUCCACUGAGCAAAUGUGCAGGUGAAAAAACCAUCUUGUAUUCCAGUGAAGACUUCUUUGCACUCAAUCAAACAAUGAAAUAACUCGCAAAAGUUAACAUCAGCGUGAUUUUAACAAUAAAGUCUUGUAGAAGUCAGGACGGGCAGAGCUCUUUGAACAGAAAUGGAAAGCAUGUCUGCAUUGUGCAAGGAUGUGCAAAGGGAGAACCUGAGCUAGCACAUACCCAAACUGGUCUGUCUGCUUGGCAGAGCGGAGUGCCAGGCUACCCGCCUGUGCCUUGGAAGCAGGAGAGAGCAGCAGUGUGAUACCACACCCAAGUAAUGAGCUUGGCAUCACUGUGCUGACACGGCCACCCUCCUCCAGAUUCCAGGGCCCCAUCAGCCCAGGCAUGUGUGCAGUGUGCUGUGUUACACUGCAGGGGUAGGCUCAGACUUACAUGGAUCUUUGGAUCAAGUGCAAAAUGAAGGAUUCAAGAGAGUGAAGAAAAGCAACCCCUCAAGUAUAGGAAGAACAA